UCAGUGUUGACUGACGUCAGAGUGAGCAUCUCUCUGAGGAGUCUGUAACUUAGAAACGUUCUGGCGCGGAGUGUCAGUUCACACACAUCAUUAUCACACCUAACAACAUUUGGAAGAGAUGAGCUAGACUUCAAGUUGAACUUGUAAAGAAAACAUUAAAGUGGAACGAUGCUGUGACUGCUAUUCUCUGGACUGCGAUAUGUUGCUGAGCGGAUAGCUUCUUGCUGUGGCUCUUCACAGAAGCACAGAACAGCAACAGGAUGCCUUUUCCAGUGUAAAGGACAGAAAGUGUGGACAGUCUCCUGUGAUGAGACAACAAAGAGUAAAUAUCCAUCCUAAGUGGACAGAAGAGAUGCCCACAUUUCCCCAUCAUCUUAUUUAUCUCUGAACCUGCAGCAUGUUGAUGUGUAGUUGCUUGGUACUUGUUAUAAUGAUGACUUGUCCAAAAACUUCUUGUAGGGAAGCUGGAUAAUGUCUGACAGCCGACAAGUGGCUCAGAAGUGACUCACAAUCUACUGUAUGUAACAAUACAACAACAACAACUGUGUCAUUAAAGUGUCCUUACACCGUUUCUCCAGAAGAGGCCCAACUUCUUUCUUCAGACUCUUUUUUCUGAGUGUGUGGCGUCAUCAUGUGGAAGAAAAAACAACUGCAGGAGACACUUACCU